ACCAUGGUUGGGAUAUCAAUUUUCCCUACAGAUUCCCUGGAAACGAUAAUGCUCCGUUUUUGCCCCCCAAAACCCUAGAGUCCUCGUAACUCCGGUCCGUGAUAGUCCAGGCGUCGUGUCCCUUAACGGCGUCAGUCGUGUUGUCAAUCUGUUUGUCCCAUCGUAAAUGCCGGCGUCCCUUGGCAUCCUGGCGGAUCCUCGCUCCCGGCCGGCGCAUGUGGGCCUCCUACAGUCCCUCUUGUGGGGGAGAGAGCAGUAGGCUCUUCUCUCUGAGACGCUGCUAUCUGUUUCCCUUCCUCUAGGAUUCAAAAGCAGCGAUCUCAAACCCUUAACCCCCUUCUUUCUCUCUCCCCUCUUUCCCCGAUCCCUUUUUGUCAUGGCUCUCGUCCAGCCAUCGCCGCCGCAGAUGGAGGUAGCGGCGCGACCGAAUCCCGAGCAAUUCAUGCAUAAAAACCGCUUACAAGAAUAUGCUCAAAGGUCAUCCAUACCUUUGCCAAUAUAUCAAACUAUUAAUGAAGGGCAUCCGCAUGCACCACAAUUCAGAUCUACUGUUUUGAUAGAUGGAGUGACAUUCAUAUCAUCUCGGACAUUUCUUCAUCGAAAAGAAGCAGAGCAAGACGUGGCAAAACUUGCUCUUGAAGGCAUAUCUAGGAAGAUAAAGGAUGAAGGAAUUUCCCUAAUUCAUGCAGAUACUACAUUCUGCAAGUCUAUCCUUUACGAGUAUGCAGUGAAGAUGAAUAUAGAGAAGCCUACGUACACAACAUCUCAAUUAGAAGGGGUGCUGCUUCCUUCUUUUAUAUCAUCUUUGGUUUUUGAUGGAAAAACUUAUACAGGUGCUGCAGGAAGAAACAAGAAGGAAGCAGAACAGAUUGCUGCACGUGCUGUUAUUCAAUCCAUCUUAGCUCACUCUGAUACAAGGACUGUCAUGUCUCAAAUUGUAAAAUCCAAGGGUAAAUUGUAUGCUGUAAUACAAAAGAACAGUGACUCAGGUUUAUCACUUCUGGGAAAUGUAGCCUCAGGACAGCAGGCAAGGAAUGACUCCAGUGGCAGUACUGUGAAAGGAAAAGAAAUUCAGGCUGCCCCAGCAAAUGAUGACAUAGUUGGUGUUACAAAUCAUAAGCAAUUGGUCUUGGGCCAACUUCCUGCUGCUGCAGAGACACAACCACUUCUUGAAGCUAAGAAACCUAAAGAAGAAUAUCCAUGCGAGCAAAGUUUUGGACCAAUUGGAGGGGGCACAUCACCGCCAGAUCUUGCACAAGGUGGUCUACCUUCAGGAUUAAAGAGUAGGGUGUUCGAGUCAUCUGAUGGAUCUUAUCAUGCUGAACAAAACCAAGUAAAUGAUCUGGCUGGGCCAUCUAUUCAAUCCUAUGAUGCUCAAGACGGGGUUCCUAGCAGCCAGAGCAAGCGCUCGAGGAAGAAGCAGAAGGGAGGACAUCAACGCAAGAAAGCACGGACUGAACAGAUCUUCACAACUGGAUUGUAAUUGUUCAACUUGCCCACCAUCCAGGAGCAUCACUUUUUACCCAAGUAAUUUCUCCAACACAUUCCCUGAGGAAGCUUGCUUUACUGCCAAAAAUGAGUCAAGACAACAUACCAAAAAAAGCCAUCGUCAACUCCACCUGUGUAGCGCUGUGUGUGUUGCAAAGUGAUGACGAUGAUUGCUGUUUCUUCUAAAGAAAACAAAAAGAGAUUACAAGGAGUUCUGGUUUUUCACAUAUGGAGCAGAAUAUGGUCAGAUGUAUGCUAACAAUACCACUUGGUGGGUGGCCCAGUGCAAUACUUUCUGGUAGGCUUAUGUAAAUUUGGUACUUAACCCCUGUAGUAUAACCUGAUACUGGUUGAGAUGUUUCAGUCUGCUGUUUAAUUUGGUGACACCUAUCAACUGCUUUCCUUGGUCUUUGGCUUGUUCUGUCAUCAUGCAGUAGAAUGAAACUAGACUAGUGCAGUUGUUGAUGUGACAAACAGAUGACAAUUUUGCAUGGAAUCUAGAUGCAAGCGGGAAAGCCAUUAUGGAUA